rnacentral:lncRNA from 1 species
UAGUACUGAAAGCAUAAGCGACAGCAAGCUAGCACUGCAGUGCAUAAAAUGAGCUAGCAAAUGCAGCUAGCUAGUUUAGCCUACACCUGGCUCAAACAAAAGCGGGAUGCAUUGUUGGCUAGCUACAUAUGGUUAUCCAACACUGAAACUCUUCCAAGUCAAGGUAAGCUUUUGGUUUCAUUAAUUUAUUGCCACCGGGGCCUGCCGGUGUAACCUCUAAACUGCUUUCUGACUUGUAUUGCAUGAUUGUAGCGGGUUAACUAAUGCGGCUUGACAACCAUAUAGGCUGUGUGUAGCGGGUAGCGGUCAUGAUAUGAAGGUUUAGCUGCCUGGUCGCAGACAGCUGCCGUAUUGUACACUGAAGUCCACAAGCGAAGGAAAAUGGUGAGAGGAGGAGAGCGUGCAGAUAGUUGCAAGAAGGAAUUAUACAGUACCAGUCUAAAGUUAGGACACAUCUACUCAUUUUUCAUGAGGGGAAAUCAAGUCUGAAAUUUCAAAAUGGAUAUUACAAACUUCAGAAGCCUUUUUAAACCUCAAAUACACUACAGGUUUCACAUUUCCAGGCUGAUCAAAUUAAGAUCCUAUAUCUGUAGAGGAAUUGAUAACUACUCACUGCAGAUUUCUCAGAUAACAAAUUAAGUUCUCCUUUCCCCCUGAGCUCGAUGCUAUGGAUGAGAAUCCUAAUGUGAAUUCACUCUGCUGUGUGAGAUGGUUCUGUAUACCAUGAAGUGUAUGGUUUUAGUCAAAUCAGAGACAACAGGCCAUCUCCCUGCAUGCUGCAACUGGGGUUACAGCAUUUGCUUUACAUGAGCCUUGAAAACAACUACAAAACAACAUUAAGUCUCUACAAAGCUUUUAAACAGACUCCAAAUGGCUGUUAUAGUCAGCUAGCAUAUACAAACAAUGGAGAACUGAUAUACAGUACCAGCCAAAAGUUUGGACACACCUACUCAUUCCAGGUUUUUUAUUUUUUAUAAAAAACUUUUUUCUACAUUGUAGA